AUUACCUAAAUUAUAUCA
rnacentral:tRNA from 1 species